GAGGAUAUUUAAACCAUCCAAUAAAAGGUGCCAGGCCAGUUGACUAAGUAGAAAGAGAUAACAUUCCAUCUUACAACAACAGCAAAAAAAUCCAGACAGAUUCAAGACUGAAAUUCUAGAAAAGAAUACUGGCGAAUAUUUUUGUGACAUCACUGUAGAGAAAGAUACCAUGAUGGAGAUCCAAAAAGCCCGAACUCAUCAUAAAUGCUAUACACACGUGCUCCACUCCAGCCCGGCUGCCUCAUCCAGCGGAGAAGAGAGGCUGAGAAGCACACGUGAAGUCACAACCUAGGCACACUGGUCACCAGAAGACUGAGACCUGAUCACAGGACCACAAAACUUCCCCUCCUUCCACAUCAAUCACCCUUCUGUAUAAUAAUGGGGAAUUAUGGCUGCUAGAGCGGCACAGCUCAGACCUUAUUUUUAAACUCUCGAGGGAACCCCGAAGAAAACAGGAAACAAAGCAAGGACACCGGAGGGGACUCCAGCCUCUGACAUCUACGGCCAAGCGCACGGUAAACAGCCCAACUCACAGCCAGGUAGACACGAGCCUCGUGCCAGAGGCCCACUGACCCAUUGUUUUGUCUGGAAUAUCACGUCUGGCUUUAAACAAAAAGUACAAGGCAUGCUACCAGUCUGAAGAGACAAAGAAAACAUCAGAAUCAGACUCAGAUAUGGCAGAGAUUUUGGAACUAUCGGACCAGAAAUUUAAAACAACUGUGAUUAAUGCCCUGAGAGCUCUAUUGGAAAAAGUGGACAACUUGUAGCAACAACGAGUCAUGUAAGCACAGGGACGGAAAAUCGAAGAAAGAAUUUUGUAAAUGCUAGAAAUCAAAAACACUGUAGCAGAAACGAUGAACACCUUUGACGCGCUCAAGGGCAAACCCAGGCGUGGUUGAUGGGAGAGCCAGGGACCUUGAAGAUAUGUCCACAGAAACUCCUAAAGCUGCCUUGCACAGAGAGGAAAAGUGACCCGGACGGAGCAGAACGCCCACGGAGGGCAGGACAGGCUGUGAGAGGCGGCCGUACGUGCAGCGAGCCCGCCACAAGGAGAACAACGAAAGGGACAGAAGAAAUAUUUCAAAUAGUAACAGCUGAGAAAUUUCAAAACCAAUGACAGACACCAAACCGCAGAUCCAGGAAGCUCAGAGAGCACCGAUCAGUGUAAAUCCACCCCAGCAUCUAUACUGUGGCAUCUCAUAUUCAAACUGCAGAAAAUCAAAGACAAAGAGAAUAUCUUGACCAAGUCAAAGGGAAAAGCUCCUCACCUACUGAAAAACAAAGGCAGACCUCCAUUUACUUUUUGAGAAACCACACAAGCAAGAAGAGAAUGAAAUUAAAUAUUUAAGGUGUAAAAGAAAAGACACACACCAACCUAGCAGUUCUGUAUCCAGUGAAAUUAUCCUUCACAAGAAAGGAGAAAUACUUGUACAGAUAAACAAAAAAUGAAGGACUCUGUCAACAGUUGGCCUGCCUUGAAAGAAAUGUGAAAAGAAGCUCUUCAGAGAGAAGGAAAACAAUGUAGGUGAGAAUCGGAUCUAUAGAAAAGCUACGCAAAUGUCCAAGGACAAGCAUUCCAAGCUUUGGGAAGAGCAGUACAAAGGCCCUGGGGCAGGGUGGGGGCAGACGAGUGGGGAGCUUGCUGGGAAUGUUUCAGGAACAGCACAAAAGCUGAGGUAAUUGAAACAGACCUAUUUGUUAUUAAAGGAAGUUAAAAAUAAGAAUAAAGAUACAUUACCUGUAUAAAAAUUGGCUCCCCCCCCUAAGUAGUUCUCAAUACCACUAACAUACAGAAACAAUCAAAAACUACACAAAGUCAAUAUUUAUUCUGUUGCAAAACCUAUGACCAAAGGGAUAUAUAUGUGAGUAUUUAGGUUCAGGAAAAAGGCACUAAGUCAUGUGGGUCUGGAUCCUGUAAGGUCAGCUGUCCGUCUUCGCUAACUGCUGCAGCCAUGCUGCCUCUUCCUGUAGCGCUCCCCUCACACGAAUGACGAAGCCUGUGUUUGAAAAGACCGCCUUGCUUCAGGCCACGUCUCCCGUACUAACUCGUGUAUCUUGCAGAGCUCUCACCAAUCUCGCAGUCUUGAGUGCUUUGUGAAUAGACAGCACCUGUAUUAGGCCUUCAAGAUCGACGUCGAAAGCGAGAUGUCUGUAGGGAAAGAUGUAAUUAAGGACACCAAGAGACCCUGAGG